UACGUAGGGGGCUAGCGUUGUCCGGAAUCAUUGGGCGUAAAGAGCGUGUAGGCGGUCCGGUAAGUCCGCUGUGAAAGUCGGGGGCUCAACCCUCGAAUGCCGGUGGAUACUGUCGGGCUAGAGUGCGGAAGAGGCGAGUGGAAUUCCUGGUGGUAGCGGUGAAAUGCGCAGAGUAUCAGGAGGAACACCUAUUGCGAAGGCAGCUCGCUGGGACGUAACUGACGCUGAGACGCGAAAGCGUGGGGAGCAAACAGG
rnacentral:rRNA from 1 species